UCGCGAAAACUUUACAAUGCUGGCAACAGCGAUAAGGGAACCUCGAGUGCCAGGUUACAAAUCUGGCUGUCGAGAUGCCUAAAAAGCAUUUCAUAGCAAGGGCCGGGCAAGACCGGUGCCAGCCGCCGCGGUAACAACGGCGGCUCGAGUGGUAACCGUUAUUAUUGGGUCUAAAGGGUCUGUAGCUGGCCGGAUAAGUCUCUUGAGAAAUCUGGCAGCUUAACUGUCAGGCUUUCAGGAGAUACUGUCUGGCUCGAGGCCGGGAUAGGUGAGAGGUACUUCAGGGGUAGGGGUUAAAUCUUGUAAUCCUUGAAGGACCACCAGUGGCGAAGGCGUCUCACCAGAACGGACCUGACGGCAAGGGACGAAAGCUAGGGGCACGAACC
rnacentral:rRNA from 1 species